rnacentral:rRNA from 1 species
UACAGAGGUCUCAAGCGUUGUUCGGAUUCAUUGGGCGUAAAGGGUGCGUAGGCGGCGCGGUAAGUCGGAUGUGAAAUCUCGGGGCUUAACUCCGAAACUGCAUUCGAUACUACCGUGCUUGAGGACUGGAGAGGAGACUGGAAUUUACGGUGUAGCGGUGAAAUGCGUAGAUAUCGGAAGGAACAUCAGUGGCGAAAGCGACUUCCUGGACCAGUACCGACGUUCAGGCACGAAAGCGUGGGGAGCAAACAGG